AUCUGCUGUUUGACUGCAAAGUUUCAAAAGUGAAGAGGCACUUCUGGAAGAAACUGUCCGUGACUCAGAAUAAGACUUUUUUUUCCUUUAGAUGCAGUGUCAUUAUUGGUAGACUUUUGUACAACAAACGGAAACAUCUCUUUCUGCCUUCAAAUGGAGCUACUGAAGAGCAGAGCACUGCUACACAUGGGCCCUGCACCAUACGCUUUGCAGAGGUGGUGUCUGGUGUGUGAGGGGACAUGGGAUCCAGUCAUGACUAUUGUGGAGGACAGAGGCACAGCGCACCAUUUUAGGAGGGGCAUGGGGCACCUCUUGCCUGUCCACCAGUGGAACAUGCUCACAACAGCUUACCAGGAGCCUGCACUGGCCUGGAGAAGGGGAGAUGGUUGCAAUGGUAAGAGCAGCUGGUCACCUGGGACCCUUUGCAGCCCAGCCAGGCAUCUCCUUCAGUGACACAAGCUGUCAAUAUAUUGUACUUGCAUUGGCUGCAACCAGACAUCUGAUUUUGACUCUUGGGUUUGGCCACGGAUUCAGUGUUCCCAGAAGCAUCUGAUGAAGUCACCAUAGUCUGGUAUCUGUGCUCAGAAGUCUUUACAUAUGACUGCUAAAGUACAUGGCAUAUGGCAUGAAAUGCUAAGUCUCAGCCACUUUACAAAAGAAAGCCUGAAUGCGCACUGCUUGCCACGGUGAUACAGAUACCCAGUAUUACUCAUCUGUGUACUCAGUGUAAACAGUUGGUGAGACCAAAACUGCACUGUUAUUUUAUAGUUAUUACUGUUAUUUUAUGGUUAUUACAGUCACAUCCAGAAACCUGAGGCUCAAUGCCUCCUUGCAGUAAUCACUCUACACAUACAGCAUAAACACAAUCUCUGCCCCAAAACCAGUACAGAUGCUAAUGUCCACUUGCACUGCAUGUGAUCCCUCCUAUCUGCACUCACAGCAAAGCAGUGGGGUGUUGUGGGAAGUUUUUACAUUGUCUGUUCCUGUUUACAUGGUAUUUAUUCUGCAAAGAACAGCUUUAAGCUCUGACUUUUCUUAAGCAUGACCUUCCCUUACACAUUGAGCUAAUAAAUAUCUAAAGCUUUCUGCCUUUUCUUCA
rnacentral:lncRNA from 1 species